CGCACAUUGCGCCCUCUGGUAUUCCGGGGGGCAUGCCCGUUCGAGCGUCAUUACACCUCUCGAGUCUCACUCGGUAUUGAUGGAUGUGCUUCGGCGCACCGUCUUAAUCAAUCGGCUGUAUAUUCAUUAACCUCAGCGUUGUGCAUAAUCUCGCUAUCGUUAAGGCUUAUCCAUGCCGUUAAACUUCUUAACAAAAGGUUGACCUCGGAUCGGGUAGGGAUACCCGCUGAACUUAA
rnacentral:misc_RNA from 1 species